rnacentral:lncRNA from 1 species
GCUAAAAUUCUAGAGCAGAAUCCCUGGGGCAGCCCCUGCUGAAGAAGGGUGCAUCUGUUGAGAAUCUCAUCACCGCCCCCACCCCGCCCAGCCUUCAAUUUAGAGGAAUUUCUAGUUCACGCAGAAUGAAGACAAGAUCACAUAAGUGAGGACGACGCCCCAUUUACAAGUGUGGUUUGGAAGACUGAAGUGGAAACCUUGGGAAGGGGCCUCAGAGUAUGUCAGCUGGGGUCAGACGGGAACAGGAGUCUGGCUCAACACACAUUUAUUGCACUCCUGCUUCAUGCCAAGAAAUGCACCAAAAUCUGGGACUGUGUAACACAGCAAAGGAAAAGACUCAUCUCCAGGAAGCCCCCUUGUCUAGGAAGAGAAAUUGAAUAUCAGCAUAAGGUGGUGAAAAGCUAUGAAGGAGAUGAGUGCCACGAGUCCAUGGAGGAAGGAUUCUAGCCUGGACAGGUGAUUGUGGUGAAUAGUCAUGAGAAUCUGGGAACUGGCUCCUGCUCUGUCUAUCUUGGAGAUGCAUCUUUUGUGAGAGGACAGGGCAAGAAUAGGGAGGCUUAGGCAAUGGGGAGUUUCUGAGUAGAUAAAGCAGAUGGCAGAGCAAAGGGACAGAGCCUGGCGAGAGGCUACUCCCUGUAGCAACCUGCCUAAGAGUGAGAGGAAAGCAAGGCAUGGCUAUGAGCACAUGUAGUCUCAGCUACCUGGGAAGCUGAGGCUGGGAGAUCACUUGAGCCCGGGAGUUCAAGACCAGCCUAGGCAACAUAGUGAGA